UUGUUAUUAAUAAGCAGCCAAAGGAAGUUUUGGCUACGUGAUAUAUCCAGCUUCGAAACUGUAGGAGAAUAACAUGAAGAACACCUCUAAAAUUAACAAUAUCAUAAAAGGAUUUAACAGUAUAUAUGCCAUUAGAACUAUAAUUCCAAACAAGUUCAGCAUCUCUAUCAUUGAAAGCAAUAGAGCUAUCAAUAUUAACAAGAUCUAGUCAGUCAGAGACUUGUUCAAGGAGCACACAGAGAAUCGAACGUUGAAUUUCUCCAACUUCAGCACCUGACUCCAC
rnacentral:lncRNA from 1 species